rnacentral:other from 1 species
AAUUACCUGAUAGACUGGAUUUUAUAUAAAACCCACAAAGUGAAUAAAUUGGGAAUCUAAUUAUUUGCCGGUGUUGAAGACUAACGUUUGUUUAGGAUCCUAAUGGCGAGUAUGUGAUGCCCACCUGUGAGAACGGGUUUUUAUCACUACUUCUGGUCUCUUGGGUUUUAU